GUGCUUGGCUACAGCCGCUGCUGCCUCUCGCGAACUGGGCUCCGGGGCUCCCGGCUCCCGAGAACUAGAAGAGAAACGCGAGCGAAGGGAUCGAAACCCGGGGGGUUACCGACUUGCAGACACCGCCAGGACAGUCUGUAACGCAGGAAGAUCCCAGCGGCUCCGGGUCUGGUGAGGGGACCAUAAGCAUGACUGAUAGCGAAUGAGGAAGGGCAGCCCUAAACUUUUCAAGCAAAGCCUCAGAGUUUUGGGUUCACUCAUUAGCAUAGGAAAUCGAUUCACCGAAAACCCAAACAAAGAAAAACAAGCCGACAGUCCAGGCAGGAUGCAGGCAAAUCCAGUUCGGGAUUAAGGGUAAAAGGCUUUUUGGGUUUUUUUUCCUUUGGUUUGAUUUUUUAAAAUAUGGGGAGGGGGGUGACAUCUACCCGAUUCUAGGCUCCGGCAGGAACGCAAUGGGUUAAUGAAUGGACAAGCCGCGGAGUAUUGAUCGGCUGCCGCCGGAGAAAGAAAGAAAAACAAAAACCAGACCGAACCUGCCUUCCCGCUGUGGCUGCUCGGCGCCCCAAUUAAGCAGGGUCAUCUCAGGCUGGCUGCAUGCCUCAGCUGAAGAUCCCAGCUCCUGUCAAUGCCACCUCUCUGCUUGACUGUCUCCUUCCAGAUUCGAGCAGGUAUGAGCUGGGAAGAAUGAAGGCAGGGCAUGCCCGUGUGCCAGCUCUGCACAGCUGGAUAGCUGAGGAAAGAUGUGGAGGAGAAGCCGGGGAUUGUGUGGAAGUCUAAGGGUGUUGUUUGCCCUUUGGGUUCCAGAAGAUGCAUGCCAGGACCCUGGGUGGCACUGCCAGGAAGCAACAGAGAGGAGAUAAAACUCACAGCAGACAGACUUGCCUUAACAACAACUCCCUUGAAUUAAAACACGCUUUUCAAGAAAACAAAUUAUCAGUUCGAUCAGCAAACAGCAGAGAAGUUUCUCUCAUAAUGGCAAAGAAGGGCCGGGUUGCUGACCAGUGAAAGAGCUUCAGAAAAGGAGAGGGGAGAUGAGAUGGCCAGAAGGAGCAAGAGCACCGUACAUCCCUGGACAACCUCAUUCUAAUGGGUCAGGGGCUGGGACGUGCAUUUUGGAGUGCAGGAGAAGUGGCAACUCACAAAUGCUAGAUUUUCUUCUAGAGAUGACCAAGCUGUAGUUCUUAAAGCAGUGGCACUAGGGCAGAAAACUCUCACACUUUGAUGUGCACACACAGCCCCUGGGGAUCUUGUUGACAUGUAGAUUCUGAUUCCGUAAGUCGGGCUGAGAUUCUGCAUUUCCAACAAGCUCCUAGAUGAGGUCCAUUUUGCUGGUCCAUGAAACACACUUAGAAUAAGUAGCAAGGUAUAGGAGGAUACUGACUUUGCUCAGUGAUGCUUGGGCUUCCGUCCAAACUAAAAUAAAACAAAAGCAGACAUAAAUGGCCCAAUUCAACAGCCUGAGAAGUUUGGUGAUAAUGACCCAAGCCCUGGCCUGGUGACCAAGUGGCUGCUCAGAGAGCUCUAUCUCCAAACUCCUUCCCUUCCUGCCUCCCCUCCAAGAGUGAGUAAUGUGCCAGAGUUCAUUGGGGUCUGCUGUCCCCAGGGAAAGGUGGCCCAGUUGCCAAGUGCAAGUGUAUAGAACGGCUUACCUGUGCAAAGCUAUCAGCCCUGGACCUAUGGGCCUAGAAACAUUACUUGCCACUCACUCACUCACUAUCAUUCAUUCAUUUCUGCAACAAACACUUCCUGAGCAUAUGCUAUACACCAGGCCCUGAGCUCAGCUCUGGGGAUACAGGAUGAAUGGCAGAUUGUGCCAUCAGGAAGCCGACUGCACAGUCAGCCCGCUGGAGCACAUAUGAAAAACAAUACGGAUGUUUUGAUUUAUUAUCAUAUUGAUCAUUAUGAUGGUAGCGUAUACUUUUGG
rnacentral:lncRNA from 1 species